ensembl:lncRNA
GUGGUGUUCUGCCCUAAUGGCACCCCGGUGUGCACGCCAGCCGACUGUUAGCAUUUAGCUCGCCGUCUAGAAGCAGAAGCAGAGGCACCACGCCAAGCAUUGAAACCAUACCAUAUGGUGGGAUGAUGAAAAAGGAAUGUGCUGCUAGCGGCUGGAGGCAAACGACGCUGGGAGCUGCUUGGGAGCGACUGUCCUCCAGUGUUUUUUGACCUUUCUGUUGACUGCUCAGUCAUCACAACGUGAGAUCUCCGCAGCGGCAUGCCAAGUCAGAUGAGUGAGGUAUCUGUGUGAAGCUGUGGAUGGAGGGGUUUUGGAGCGGCUCUUUGGUUGCCCAGGUCUUUCACUCCAGCCACUCCGGAUGCGUUGUGGAUAUGCAGUUCCAUCGAAGCCUUUCACCCACCAUAAGAAGACUCCUCCUGACGGAAGACAAAUUUCCCGACAAGGUGGAGGCCAUCUGCUUUUUAUAAUUAUUACAGCCAACAUGAUGGAGAACCCAGGGCAAGCAUUUGCAGAAGUCAUUAGGCCCAGUCUCUCCUAAAAACAUCUGGACAGAGAUGUUGCAUAAGUGUCCUCGCUGUGGCUGUCGGCGGAGGCCCCGGUGUCCCUGUGUCCCUCCUCACACUCACUCCGCUGAUUGGCUCCCGGCGGGGGAGAGG